AUGCCCCACCCCUCACAUGUACAGUGUCACAGCCCUCACAUGCCUCAUGUCACAUCCCUCAUGUGUGCCAUGUCAUGUUCCCAACGUACCAUGUCGUGUUCCUCACAGGUGCCAUGCCCCACCCCUCACAUGUUCCAUGUCACGUCCCUCAUAUGUGCUGUGUCCCACCCCUCAUGUACCGUGUCCCAUCCUUCAUGUGUGCCAUGUCAUGUUCCUCAUAUGUACCAUGACACGUCCCUGACGUGCUCCGUGCUACACCCCUUAUGUGUGCCAUGUCACAUCCCUCAUGUGCUCCAUGCCACAUCCUUCAUAUGCUCCACAUCACAUCCCUCAUGUGUGCCAUGUCCCAUCCCUCACAUGUACCAUGUCAUGUCUUAUGUGUGCCAUGCCAUAUCUGUCAUGUGUGCCAUGUCCCAUCCCUCACAUGCUCCAUGUCCCAUCCCUCACGUGUGCCAUGUCCCUUCCCUCAUGUGUGCCAUGUCCCAUCCCUCAUGUGUGCCGUGCCACAUCCCUCAUGUGUACCAUGUCACAUUCCUUGUGUGUGCUGUGUCAUGUUCCUCACAUGUGCUAUAUCCCAUCCCUCACAUGCUCCGUGUCCCGUCCCUCACGUGCGCUGUGUCCUGUCCCUCACGUGCUCCAUGUCCAGUCUCACGUGCUCCAACCCGUCCCUUACAUGCUCCAUGUCCCGUCCUUCACGUGUGCCGUGUCCCAUCCCUCAUGUGCUCCAUGUCCCAUCCCUCACGUGCUCCAUGUCCCAUCCCUCAUGUGUGCCAUGUCCCAUCCCUCACGUGCUCAUGUCCCAUCCCUCACGUGCUCCAUGUCCCAUCCCUCACGUGUGCCGUGUCCCGUCCCUCACGUGUUCCAUGUCAUGUCCCUCACGUGUGUCGUGUCCCAUCCCUCACAUGCUCUGUGUCCCGUCCUUCACGUGCUCCGUGUCCCCUCACUCGCGUGAUCCAUGCCACACCCCUCAGUGCGCCCUGCUCUGAUCCCCUCACUUUAUGA
rnacentral:lncRNA from 1 species